AUGGCCUGCCUCAAGCUGGGAUCAAGGGCUGAUGUAUUCAGGAAGCAGGGUCAAGACUGGUAUUGCACUACUGGCCUUCCCAGUGAUAUAACUGUGGUGGUUGGGGAACAAUCUUUUCAUCUCCACAAGUUUCCUCUAUUAUCAAAGAGUGGCCUUCUGGAACGUCUCAUCAGAGAGAAAAUUGAGAAGGGAGAAGAUAGCUGUGCCAUUGAUCUAUCUGAUAUUCCUGGGGGAGCAAAGGCUUUUGAACUAGCUGCUAGGUUCUGCUAUGGUGUGAAGUUUGAAUUGACUUCCUCCAAUGUUGUGCACCUUCGCUGCGCUUCUGAGUAUCUUGAGAUGGCUGAAGAGAUCGCCGAGGGAAAUUUGAUUGCGCAGACAGAGAACUUCCUUACCCAGACAGUUCUCAAAAGCUGGAAAGAUUCAAUCAAGGCACUUCAUACUUGCGAUGACGUCAUUGAUCUUGCUGAAAAAUUGCAAGUUGUGAAGAAGUGCAUAGACUCAGUUGCAACUAAAUCAAGCACUGAUCCCGAUGUAUUUGGCUGGCCUGUCGCCCAGUAUGGUGGUCCCACACAGAGUCCUGGAGGGAGCUUCUUGUGGAAUGGUAUUAGCACUGGAGCAAGGCCAAGAAAUUGCAGUUCAGAUUGGUGGUAUGAUGAUGUGUCAUGCUUAAGCCUUCCAUUAUACAAGAAGGUAAUCUCAGCUAUGGAAUACCGAGGCGUCAAUCAGGACAUUAUUGUUGGAUCCCUUAACCAUUAUGCCAAAAGGCGUUUACCUGGUCUGAAUCGGCGCAAAAGCAUUAGUGAUGUCAGUAACUGCCUUUCAGUGUCAACUUUAACCACCAUGCCUUCUGAAGAGGAGCAAAGGUAUCUUCUUGAGGAGAUUGAUAGGCUGUUACCUUUCCAAAGGGGUGUUACAUCUUGCAAGCUGUUAUUUGGCCUUCUGCGCACAGCGAUCUUCCUUAAAGCCAGCUCAUCCUGCAUGUCCAACUUGGAGCGUCGGAUAGGUUUGCAGCUUGACAAGGCCACUCUGGAAGAUCUUCUGAUAACAAACAUGUCUGAAUCCAUUGAAAUGCUCUAUGAUGUGGAUUGCGUACAUAGGAUUCUUGACCACUUCUUGGCAAUGGAUCAAGAAACUGGUGGAGCUUCUCCUGGCAUUGGCGAAGAUGGGCACCUAUUGGCUUCUCCAUCUCUAUUGCCGAUUACUAUGGUUGCUAAGUUGAUCGACGGCUACCUAGCUGAAGUUGCACCAGAUGCCAACCUAAAGUUGCCAAAGUUUGUGUCUUUGGCUGCCGCCAUACCAGACUAUGCUCGGCCAAUAGAUGAUGGACUUUACCGCGCCGUUGACAUCUAUCUGAAGGCGCAUCCCCAUCUGUCGGAAUCGGAGAAGGAAGAGCUUUGCCGGGUGAUGGACUGCCAGAAGCUCUCUCUGGAGGCUUGCACCCACGCGGCGCAGAACGAGCGUCUCCCCCUGCGGGUCAUCGUGCAGGUCCUCUUCUUCGAGCAGCUGCAGCUCCGGAGCUCCAUCGCGGAGUGCCUGAUGAUCUCCGAGAACCUCGAGGGCGGAUCGAGGCAGCUUGGCAUGCCAACCUCUAGUGAGCAGCACCGUGGCGGUGUCGGCUGGCCCCUGGCCGCCAGGGAGAACCAGGCCCUGCGCGAGGGCAUGGACGGCAUGAAGCAGCGGGUGGCCGAGCUGGAGAAGGAGUGCUCCACCAUGCGGGAGGAGAUUGCGAGGCUGGGCCGCAGCAGGAGCGCCGGCAAGGGCAGGCUGUUCUCCCUUGGCACAAGGCCGCAGAUCUGCAGCACCGCCAAGGAUGCUACCCCCGCGAAGGUGACAACGGCGAGCGACGACGAGAGGCUGGCUGUGGUGAAAGUUGAUGCCACACCCCGGCUGAAGCUGAGCAGACACAAGAAGAACCUGUCCAUAGAGGCCUAG
rnacentral:rRNA from 1 species